UAAUAACGGUAAUGAAGAACAGCCGAUAGAUGAUAAAGUAGUUAAAAUAAGUGAAGUCAUAUCUAUAAUCAAAAACCUGAAAAUUAAUAAAUCUCCUGGAUACGAUCUCAUAAGAGUGAAAAUGGUAAAAGUGAAUGAUCUGGAUACGUGCUGAAAUAAUCCUGCUACAUAAAGGUAAAAACUCUAAAUUACGGCCAUUAUAUAAUGGCAGAAAUUACUAAUGGAAGAAAUUAUGCCAAACAACUAAUCUCGAAACAUUAAUUUGGAUUUAGAAAAAAUCACAACACAUUCAAGGAAAUAGAAAACCAUUAAAUGGUACAAAAAAAUUACUAUACGAUUAAUAUGCGGGACUUGCCUUAUAAAUGCGUGGUAUCUACAUCAAAGAUGGGGUAAUAAACAUAUUAAUAUUUUAUAAUUAAAAGAAAAAAUUAUUGAUCACCAUAUUGAAGAAAUGGCUAUUGAAAAGCAAAUAUCUUCAAAAAAGGUUCACAAUUUCUUCAUUCAUAUAAAAAAUCUGC